UACGUAGGGCGCAAGCGCUGUCCGGAAUUAUUGGGCGUAAAGAGCUCGUAGGCGGUUUGUCGCGUCUGUCGUGAAAGCUUGGGGCUUAACCCCAAGUCUGCGGUGGAUACGGGCAGACUAGAGGCAGGUAGGGGAGAACGGAAUUCCCGGUGUAGCGGUGAAAUGCGCAGAUAUCGGGAGGAACACCGGUGGCGAAGGCGGUUCUCUGGGCCUGUACUGACGCUGAGGAGCGAAAGCGUGGGGAGCGAACAGG
rnacentral:rRNA from 1 species